UACGUAGGGUCCGAGCGUUGUCCGGAAUUACUGGGCGUAAAGAGCUCGUAGGUGGUUUGUCGCGUUGUUCGUGAAAACUCACAGCUCAACUGUGGGCGUGCGGGCGAUACGGGCAGACUAGAGUACUGCAGGGGAGACUGGAAUUCCUGGUGUAGCGGUGGAAUGCGCAGAUAUCAGGAGGAACACCGGUGGCGAAGGCGGGUCUCUGGGCCGAUACUGACGCUGAGGAGCGAAAGCAUGGGUAGCGAACAGG
rnacentral:rRNA from 1 species